rnacentral:miRNA from 1 species
UGCUUCAUUCCUCAAAAUUCUUUCGAUUUUGUGUGAAGCCGGACCAAUGUAUGGUAGACAAACAGACGACUGAUAUUCUACUUAUUCUGUUUGUCUACCAUACAUUGGUCCGGCUUCACACAAAAUCGAAAGAAUUUUGAGGAAUGAA